UUUAUUUUGUAUUGUGUUGUUUUAUAAAGGAAUAUGCUGGCAAGUAAUGUAUACCCUAAUGUAAUUACAAGUAAUUAGAGAGUAUAAAAUUGGGAAUAAAUGACUACCAUUAUAAUCAUAAUGGAUUAUGAAUAAUAUAUCAAUCGGAGUGCAUCAUAUUUACAAAAUAACAACCGUUAUCAAACCAUGAAUUCAUAAUACAAAUUCCUUUAAACAAUGUCAAUUGCAACACUCUCAGAGCCUAAUAUCAGGAGAAAGUUCAAAAUGUCUGUGGAUGGCCCUUGUAUUGGCAGUAAGGUAAUGGUGCCUCCCUCUUUGGGAGGCAGCAUUACCACUCAUCAGUCAAAUGCAUUGUAAAUUACAGGGCCCGGGUAAUAAAACCAGAUUUGUACAUCACCAGGACUGGAGACUGUCUGUCUUGUAAAUUUAAUUAAACAGCAGGUGCAAAAUCAGGUCAUGUGGCUUUGAUGUGUCCCAUGUGAGAAUGACAAGCAGACAAAGAUUCUAAUAUGGGAAGCAUUUACAUAUUUUUGCAUGUGCACGCGUGUACAAGGGGAGCUGCCGUCACCGUGUAGAGUAUUCCAAUUCGCCCAAAUUAAGAGAGAUUCAAAUUAGCUGUCACCUUCAAUUUCAAUAGCUCGUCGCCAAAAUAAACGGUUAAGCUCUUCAAAAGCAAUCCCUGCUCGUCAAAUGCAGAGUAAACACACAUAUUACCAACAGCUUGUCGAGACGGGAAGAUUUGCACUAAUCAGGUCUUAUAGCAAAUAAAAUAAAAUGUUAUUGGUCGCAUACACAUAUUUAGCAGGUGUAGCAAAAUGCUUGUGGAGCCAUGAACAGGACGACCAUGUCAAUCAGCGCCAUCUUGUCAAGUCUGUGCACGACAACACAGAAAACCUACCUAAAGAAAACACUCAUCAACCAGUGCCUACAAUACAGUAGAAUCACAUUUGAUUUUCCAACCUACUAGUCAGCUCUUAAUAGACUUGAUCCAGAGUGAUGCACAUCCUCUUAUGGAUGAGUGUGACCUGUGACACCGUUCUCUCGCCAUCUCCGUGGCAGAAGACAGACAUCGAUUGAAGUUGACUAGCGAAAUGUCAGCUGCCUGACCUGAUGGCAACACCUUUGCUUGUUUUUGGGAAGAAGUGGUUGAUAAUUACCACCUAGAAUGUAGCCAUCUGUCCCGCUCUUUCAUGACCUGUUAAACUCGCUUUUCAAAAAGUUUACUGGUGACAGAGGGCACGUGACGGAAAAGAGUGUGCACUCAAGCCAGAGCUAAGGAGCUCAUAGAACCAUUACUGUACUGUAGAUACACCAAACAGCUCUAAUAAACUUGAAGUUAUUAUGGGAAAACAAGGAAAGCAGAAGAGGGAAGAAAAGAUGUCAGAAAAGAUUAAAUAUGAAUUUGAAGUAAUAUGCUUACGGGAAUAAGAACCUAAUUCUGUUGAACAGAACAAAUAACUCAACCAAAGCCAACAACCUAGUGUCACCAUGAGUUAAUCAUCGGUUGCUUUCAAUUUCUCCCACACAUUGCCAAUAGUUUGACAUCUACUCUCAUUCCAGAGAAAGUCAGUGAUUUUGCAACUUACAUAAAACCGACUAUCAGCAUUGUCAAUUACAUAUGGGUUUUUCCCCUAGUCUUCAGAGACACCUGUGUUUUCACAGUAAGGAAUCUGCUAUCAACAACAUGCUUGCCCGAUGUCUAUUUAUCUGUCUGUCAGUUUGACAGAGUCUUUGGGAAAUCCUCACUUGUCAGAACUAUUUCUCUCAUGUUUCACUGAGUUUUUAAUGAGAAGCACCAGGCAAAAUCCACAAGCAACGUGAGAGCAGAAGGGGGGGGACAGGUGGAUAGCUGGGAGCUUCGGUAUAACUGAACACCAUGUGGUAUACAUCUCUUUUGAUUACUGCCACAUCCAAUCACACUAAUCAAACACGCAUCAAAGAGCAGAAGUUAUAGACCGAUGACUGAAUGACACAAUGUAAAGACUGGUGCAGUGUGAAAUCUGCCAACACUAUCAUUGGUGGUUUCAAAACAAUGCACAGUGUCCACCCACUCUGCCAAGACGCACUUUGGUGAUGAAAUUUCACUUCCUUAUGUUAUCAAAUACAUUUUACCAAGACAAAUAUGAUUAUUCAUGUCUGAAUCAUUGUGGGGUCUUUCUCUAACAUAUUAGUAUUAUAUCCAAAAAGUUGGAUUUCGUAAUCUAAUACAUACGAUAAUAAGCACCAAGAUCUGUUGACAUCGUGGUACAGGUUUCUCAUAACUUCUAAAGAUGUUACAUUUUGAGGUCAUCGUCUUCCAAGUAGUUAACAGGUCGCAAAAAGCAAAUGAGAAUGAAUUAAAUGUAAAAGACUGAUAAUAAAAAGCUUGGAAUGCUCAGCGUUCAUUUUAUAGAGAUUCAAUCAUUUCUUACAAACAAGCAUAAAAGAACAGGAAUUUCCAAUUCAUAUGAAAAGUGUGUACUAAAAUAUGAAAAUACGUCAUGUCUCAAAAUCGAUAUCCAUCUUAGCUCUAUAUUGUUUUAUGUCCUGCGGAUUGGAGAAGAAAGAUGACCAGUUCAACAGGGAAGUGAGCCUGUCAGGUAGCCAAUAGCCUUAAAUCUGCCACAGAAUCCAGCCUAGCUGACACAAUGCAAUUUUCCACUUUUUUUUACCACUUUUUUCCCCCUCCGGCCUCCAUUGAUUUAGUCACCCGAAUUCUGACCAUCCCACAAGGGUAAAGACUCCAAUAACUCGAACGGGUUAUGAUAGACACGAGGUUUGGACCAUUGGAAUACUUAGAGGAUUAUCUACAGAAUUAACAUACUAUUUAAAAAACACUGCUCGAAAGAUACAUUUUUGAUUGGAACUUGUGUGAAUUCUGAUUUUUUUCCAGUGCCUGAAUAUCACGACUCAGGAUAAGGCCCAUAUGCAGACAGUUCGAAGCACAGUUAUUUAUUGACAAAUCAGGGGACAGACAAAAGACAGGUCAAGAGCAGGCAGGAGGUCAGUAAUCCAGGGCAGAGUCAGUAAGGUACAGAACGGCAGGCAGGUUCGGGGUUAGGGCAGGCAGAGGUCAGUAAUCCAGGGCAGAGUCAGUAAGGUACAGAACGGCAGGCAGGUUCGGGGUUAGGGCAGGCAGAGGUCAGUAAUCCAGGGCAGAGUCAGUAAGGUACAGAACGGCAGGCAGGUUCGGGGUUAGGGCAGGCAGAGAUCAGUAAUCCAGGGCAGAGUCAGUAAGGUAAAGAACGGCAGGCAGGCUCGGGGUUAGGGCAGGCAGAGGUCAGUAAUCCAGGGCAGAGUCAGUAAGGUACAGAACGGCAGGCAGAGGUCAGUAAUCCAGGGCAGAGUCAGUAAGGUACAGAACGGCAGGCAGAGGUCAGUAAUCCAGGGCAGAGUCAGUAAGGUACAGAACGGCAGAAAAAAACCCGACGGUAAGCUUGACGAGACAAGACGAACUGGCAACAGACAAGCAGAAAACACAGGUAUGAAUGCACAGGGGAUAAUGGGGAAAAUGGGCGACACCUGGAGGGGGUGGAGACAAGCACAAGCCAAGUGAAACAGAUCAGGGUGUGACACUAAGGCUAUGCAGCAGUUUGAUAAUGUAGAAUGUGUUUUUUAAAUUUAUUUUACUCUUAAGAUCAAGCCCACAUAGAUCCAUAACCAGGUGUGGUGUUUAGUGGUGUUUCGGGAAGGUGGGAGCUAGAUACAGUAUAUCCAACAUGCUUUUUUGUGACUAUGAACAUUAAGGUGUAAUUGAGCUUUGCAAUGUAACUCGACCCCUUUAAAGAAAAAUACGCAAAUGCUGAGAACUAAAGCUAAACCAGUCAAAAUCCCUCAACUGUAGUUACAUCAUAUGCCUUAUCACACAUGCAGUAGUUACAACAUCUGCCUUAUCCCACAUGCCUUCUCUUGUCCUACAUUCUUGUCCUACAUAUAAUCAAUCUUCCCUUGAAACGAUCUAAGUCAUAAAAUAUGAGUGUUUGCUGAUUGACUCUCCGAUACACAUUUCAAACAUAUUUGUGCAUCUGCAUUCGCCUGCAUUCACUACCAACACAUUCCUCGAGCCUGCUCAGGUCUGAGGGUGUCAGAACAGAUACAGAGAAACAGCUAUUUUUUCACCUGCAGCACAGAACAACAUCUCCACGGAGGCCAGCAGCAGCAGAUAUGUCAUAGCGAGAGAGACAGAGCAGUUGAGAAGGUGAAUGACUGCAGGCGGUCCUCAGAGGGAGAGGUGGAGGGUGGAGCCCCAUGGGUUGGAACAACCCCAUGGAGAGUAGACAUAUCAGCACUAUUGAGUUGUUACACAACAUCUACUGUAGGUCAUGAAUGCACUACCUCUGGUAUUUUAACAUGAACUGGAAAGUUUAGAGGCUCGGUAUGAGGUUGAUAUGAGGUGAAUUUGGUGCAACACAAAAGCAAGAACUUUACAAUUUAGUCAUUUAGCAGAAACUCUUAUCCAGAGUGACUUACAGGAGCAAUUAGUCUUAAGUUCCUUGCUCAAGGGCACAUCGAGAGAGCCUUGUUGGCUCGGGGAUUCAAACCAGUAACCUUUCAAUUAAUGGCCCAAUACUCUAACCACUACCUUCCCCCCCAAUCAAUCCAAUCAGUACUUGGACUGGUAACU
ensembl:lncRNA